CCCUGCUGAUCCUUUAGUAAAUUGAGCAAAUUUUGCUUUUGCGAUUUUUCACUUUGCUGCUACUUGUGUUUUAUAGGUCUAUGAAGGGCUAAAUUUGGAUACAGCUAGGAGCUACAUCAACUCAUCAAAGAGUUUGGAGGCAAUAAAAAUUUUGGUUCUUUCGGUACCCCCAUGAUGCAAUGAAACAAGAAACAGGUUAUUGGGCAGUGGGGGGGCAGGAUUCACUGCGAAGGGUUACAAUGUAACUUUUCUGAUCUCUGCUUUGAUUUUCCAUGUCUUUGGGAAUUAUGUUCAUUAGUUAUUGUUUCUCCCCAACAAUGAUAGGAGAUGAAAAAAUAGAAUUGGAUACUGCCACGUGAUGCCUUUCCCAAUCAAUGGCACAUAUGGCUUUUAAAAAGAUCAUUCAAAAAGCAAACUUUUAAAAUCCACACGUUACACUUAUUUGUAUACUGGUAGUUCUUGUCUCUUACAGUUUAUAAAUUAUGCAGCCUUUGUGUGAUGUAUAUUCUCCAAUGAGAUUCUAUUGAGGCUUGCUUUCCAUCUUCUGUUUAAUUUCGUUGCCUAAUAAGAUUUCGGAAAGCCUUUUGUUAACGCCAUCAUAGUUUAAUUUUCAUGGGAGUUAAUUUGUUGAACUUUGGUUGGCCUAAAUAGAUGAGUGACUGAUCAAUGGAGGAAUGCUCCAUCAGGACUACUGCCCCAAGUUUCUU